GUCACAAAAACACCACAGACACACGCACACACACACGUAGCUUCAGUUGAAGACCUUGGUUAACCUUCUACUUUGUGUUCAUCCCUUUGUUCUAUUCCUCAAGCAAUCAUGAAGGUGGCAGCUUUCAACAUCCAGAAGUUUGGGACGAAUAAGGUCUCAGACCCCCAAAUCCUUCCCAUACUUAUCAAGAUAGUGUCUCGCUACGACAUCAUAGUCAUCUUGGAGGUUGUGGAUGCCAAGGGGAAAUCAGUGAAAACCUUCUUGCAGGAACUCAACAAAGCCAACAAGGAGCAUCGCUACACCAUGGAGAUCAGCACUCGUCUGGGCAGAACUAGAUACAAGGAACAGUACCUGUUUCUCUACAGGGAUGAUGUGGUGGAUCUGAUAGACACCUACCAGUUUGCAGACAAACAAGCAGGUCAGGAGGAUGCGUUUGCCAGGGAACCAUAUGUCCUCCGCUUCAAGUGCCACAACACUGUGAUGAAUGACCUUGUGCUGAUGCCAGUGCACACAAAGCCUGUUGGAGCAGAAAAGGAACUGGACGAGCUGUACGACGUCUUCCUAGACGUGAAGCGCAAGUGGGGGACUGACAACAUUAUGAUCCUCGGGGACUUCAAUGCAGAUGGCUCCUAUGUCUCCAAGAAAGAAAUGAAGCUGAUCCGUAUCCGCAGCGACAAGAACUUUCAUUGGCUGAUCAGUGAUGAUGUUGACACCACUGCAAAUCAUAAAAACGACCACACUUACGACAGGAUAGUGGUCUAUGGAGAUGACAUGCUGGCUGCCGUUGUUCCAAACUCAGCCAAACCUUUCAACUUCCAGCAGGAAUAUGGACUGACUAAUGCGCAGCCAACAGGAAGAAAAAUUAGGCAACGAAAACUGGAAGAGGCCCUCCUCCACAGGACUGGCCCUCUCCAGCAAUCAGGGUCACCGCCUGAUGGAAGGAGUAGAAGGGGGCUUUUCAUCAGACCCUGGUGGCAGCAGCUCGGACACCCAGGCAUAUGUACAGGGUAUGUUUCAAGUAAUCUACGUGACCGUGUUCAUUCAACAAUUAUUUAUGAAUAUUGUAGGAGUGAAAUGUAUUACUGUUCCUAUGACAGGAAAUACAGUGGUGUUGCUGCCACCACCCACUGUCAUCCCACUGUGCCAUACAGAGGUGGAGGUCGUAGAUGAUCAGGAAACUGUGUCUGCCCGCUCAGAGAGCGCUUUGGGGGUACACUUUGGAUUUUUUUUUACCACUUGCAACACAGUGGGUGAGAGUGUGUGAACGUGUGGCUGUGAUUGUCGUGUCUGUAAUGACUUGCUAAUGGUAGUGGUCUGAAGAUGAGACACAAGUCCUUAAAGUGCUCAUUUCAAAUAUGACUCAAUUGAUUAAACUUAUGGUGUUAAACUCAGCAGGAAGAGGAACUUCUUCCUCUCCCUGAGCCUUGGGCCUCCACCUCAAGGCCAAGACAAAGACACGAGGUAUAAGCAAUGAACCUUGAAACACAGUAGUCAAAUGGACACCUUCAACUUUCUCCAAGUGUGCCUUGCAAAGGGACAAUUUUCUUUAUUUGUUUCAGGUUGGAGCAGACAAUGUGAGGGCCCUGUAUAAAAAAACCCUGGAGCUCGAUAUAGAGUACAAGAGGCUUUUAAUUGAAAAAACAAGGCUGGAGAUAGAAAAACUGGAAUAUGAGAAGAAGGAAAGAGAGAACACAUGAGGAUGUAUUUGUUAAAUGUUUUUCUACGUUUUGGUCUUUUUAUACUUUUUUGUGGCUCUUUGUCCCAAAGAUUUUUUUGUUGUGCCUUUGAGUCUU